GACGAACGCUGGCGGCGUGCUUAACACAUGCAAGUCGAACGGAAAGGCCCUGCUUUUGUGGGGUGCUCGAUUGGCGAACGGGUGAGUAACACGUGAGUAACCUGCCCUUGACUUUGGGAUAACUUCAGGAAACUGGGGCUAAUACCGGAUAGGAGCUCCUGCUGCAUGGUGGGGGUUGGAAAGUUUCGGCGGUUGGGGAUGGACUCGCGGCUUAUCAGCUUGUUGGUGGGGUAGUGGCUUACCAAGGCUUUGACGGGUAGCCGGCCUGAGAGGGUGACCGGCCACAUUGGGCCUGAGAUACGGCCCAGACUCCUACGGGAGGCAGCAGUGGGGAAUAUUGCACAAUGGGCGGAAGCCUGAUGCAGCAACGCCGCGUGCGGGAUGACGGCCUUCGGGUUGUAAACCGCUUUCGCCUGUGACGAAGCGUGAGUGACGGUAAUGGGUAAAGAAGCACCGGCUAACUACGUG
rnacentral:rRNA from 1 species